GAGACUAAUUUUUUGGUCCGACUUCAUGUACGGCGGCUACCUAUUACAAGAAAGGGAAUUGGAUUUUCAAGACUUAUACUACUAUGUUUGAGACAACAUAGUUGGAAAAUACAAACAUUGAUGGAAGCAAGAAUAUGAAAAUGGACAACAAAGACGAAACGUAAUAAAUGGAUCUCGAGUUGAGUUGGUUUUUUUUUUCAUGAUACAAGUGGCGAAAAAAUAUAAUUUAUUAUUGUACUAAAUAACGGUCUUACCUUGAGAUCUUACGAAUAUGAAUCUAUUUGAGCUUGAGUGAAUUUGCGCUGUAAAUAUUUUCCUCUUCGUCCUCCGUGAUUCAAAGUUAAUAAACUAGUGAAAGAUGCUCAA